AUGCGCGCACGCUACCUGGCAGCGGUGCUCCGGCAGGACGUGGAGUACUUCGACCUCAAGGUGGGGUCGACGGCAGACGUGAUUGCCAGCGUCUGCCGGAAUGCAAAAUGUGUGCCAUGGCUAACCCAUUGUGCACGAUUAAGAAAAGCGAACAGUCUGCGAGACCAGGCAAACACUUCCUUUGACAAACCCACGGGCGUUAAGUAA
rnacentral:rRNA from 1 species